UACGGGGGGGGCAAGCGUUGUUCGGAAUUACUGGGCGUAAAGGGCUCGUAGGCGGCCAACUAAGUCAUACGUGAAAUCCCUCGGCUUAACCGGGGAACUGCGUCUGAUACUGGAUGGCUUGAAUUCGGGAGAGGGAUGCAGAAUUCCAGGUGUAGCGGUGAAAUGCGUAGAUAUCAGGAGGAACACCGGUGGCGAAGGCGGCUAUCUGGACAGAGUCUGGCGCUGAGGCGCGAAAGCUAGGGGAGCAAACAGG
rnacentral:rRNA from 1 species